rnacentral:rRNA from 1 species
GACGAACGCUGGCGGCGUGCUUAACACAUGCAAGUCGAACGGAAAGGCCCCUUUGGGGGUACUCGAGUGUCGAACGGGUGAGUAACACGUGAGUAACCUGCCCUUGACUUCGGGAUAACUUCAGGAAACUGGGGCUAAUACCGGAUAGGAAUCCUUGCUGCAUGGUGGGGGUUGGAAAGCUUCGGCGGUUUUGGAUGGACUCGCGGCUUAUCAGCUUGUUGGUGGGGUAGUGGCUUACCAAGGCGUUGACGGGUAGCCGGCCUGAGAGGGCGACCGGCCACCUUGGGACUUAGAUACGGCCCAGACUCCUACGGGAGGCAGCAGUGGGGAAUAUUGCACGAUGGGCGGAAGCCUGAUGCAGCAACGCCGCGUGCGGGAUGACGGCCUUCGGGUUGUAGACCGCUUUCAGCAGGGGCGAAGCUUGUGGUGACGGUACCUGCAGAAGAAGCACCGGCUAACUACGUG